ACAGCAUCAUCUAGUUCGAGACUAAGUGACGCACUCGUGUAGUUUCGGAUAUUAUGACGAAUAUGAUCUGAGACGUCUUGACGCAGCUCUUAUGUGCCAUAAUAUAAGGAAUCUUGUAAGGAAAACUGUCAACUGGAACAGAAUGCUCUAGCCCUGACGGAGAGAAUCAUGGAUUGCAUUAUGUAGCGAACGAGUUAUUGUUAUUCGGACAACUUUGAAACUUCAAAUUGAACCUAAUGGUUCGUCAACGGAGGAACAUGCCGUUGAUUCCUUUACAGCUAUUCGUUUCAAGUCUAAUUUUCAGUUCAACGGAUUUGAACGUCGAUUAUGCUCGGAUGUGUGAAGUUUGCCGACAGAGCUAGUAUGAUCAGUUGCAGUUCAUGGAGGCCGAAGACGAUGCAUCUGGACUUUCCUCCGAUUUGCAACAUGCACAAGAAGUGGUUUUGCAACGGCCGCGAUAGCACAACCUGAUCCCGUAAAUCCCCUGGUCUGGACGAAGCACAACGAAGUUAUCCUGCAGGGCGAUGAACCACGCGAAUAGAUCGUGCUACUCGUUCUUAGCUUGAGGUUCAUCCCUGCCAAAGUAGAUUUCGUUGGUGUUUUUAAGUCCAGACAAUCGUGUGCAUCACAGAAAUUCAUCAAUGAUAUGAAUUGGACCCAGUAGUGGAGACCUCUCAUUGCUAGUUGGUUAACAUUCUCACUUAACAAGAACCACAGCGAGCCCGAAAGGUUUUAGUUUCCAUGACAUGGAGAAACGCGUUGAUAAAAAGCCAUUUUUUCAUAAAACAGACAAAUCGACACCAUUUUGAAUUUUAGUUCGCGCUUUAUGAAAUCUUCGGAAGCUUUUUCGGCAAUUCAGAAGCCCCUCUUGGUUAUGUUCAGUUCUUGGGAGCGAGCCCAAGCAGCAACUAACAACAUGCCUGCCCUGGUCGGAAUGUCCAUGAACAUGCGAAUUUACCACCGCGCCUAAUUUAGCAGUAACAGGCGGUGUAGAGGACAAGCAAAUCAGCCGAAUCACACCCGUGGUGCAACCGGCACCAAAUCGAUACAACAGCCACCCGAGAUUCCGUCUCGCAGCCGCCUUCGUAACGGUUAAUUUCCGAAACCGAUGUUAAAACGCUCAAAUAUUUUAUAUGAAUCUAAUAAAUGAUUCGA